GCGCCCGUAGCUCAAUUGGACAGAGCGGCGGACUACGGAUCCGCAGGUUAGGUGUUCAACUCACCUCGGGCGCG
rnacentral:tRNA from 1 species